GGCUGGUCUGAGUGCAGUGAUAUUGACAGCUAAUUGAUCACAACCAGUUACAGAGUCCUUUGUUCCUUCUCCACUCCCACUGCUUCACUUGACUAGCCUAAA
rnacentral:Y_RNA from 1 species